rnacentral:rRNA from 1 species
GUGGGGAAUAUUGCACAAUGGGGGAAACCCUGAUGCAGCGACGCCGCGUGGGUGAAGAAGUAUUUCGGUAUGUAAAGCCCUAUCAGCAGGGAAGAUAAUGACGGUACCUGACUAAGAAGCCCCGGCUAACUACGUGCCAGCAGCCGCGGUAAUACGUAGGGGGCAAGCGUUAUCCGGAUUUACUGGGUGUAAAGGGAGCGUAGGUGGCGUGCCAAGUCAGGAGUGAAAACCCAGAGCCCAACUCUGGGACUGCUCUUGAAACUGGCAGGCUUGAGUGCUGGAGAGGUAAGCGGAAUUCCUAGUGUAGCGGUGAAAUGCGUAGAUAUUAGGAGGAACACCAGUGGCGAAGGCGGCUUACUGGACAGUGACUGACACUGAGGCUCGAAAGCGUGGGGAGCAAACAGGA